AGCGAACGCUGGCGGCAGGCUUAACACAUGCAAGUCGAGCGGGCAUAGCAAUAUGUCCGCGGCAGACGGGUGAGUAACGCGUGGGAACGUACCUUUUGGUUCGGAACAACACAGGGAAACUUGUGCUAAUACCGGAUAAGCCCUUACGGGGAAAGAUUUAUCGCCGAAAGAUCGGCCCGCGUCUGAUUAGCUAGUUGGUGAGGUAAUGGCUCACCAAGGCGACGAUCAGUAGCUGGUCUGAGAGGAUGAUCAGCCACAUUGGGACUGAGACACGGCCCAAACUCCUACGGGAGGCAGCAGUGGGGAAUAUUGGACAAUGGGCGAAAGCCUGAUCCAGCCAUGCCGCGUGAGUGAUGAAGGCCCUAGGGUUGUAAAGCUCUUUUGUGCGGGAAGAUAAUGACGGUACCGCAAGAAUAAGCCCCGGCUAACUUCGU
rnacentral:rRNA from 1 species